CCCAUUCAUGACCUGCUCUCGUUUCGCAAAAGCAGCAGUAGCAGCAGCAUCACCAGCAAUCCGCAAAUCACUGUCCAGUAGAGUCUCGGCCGGCACCCAGUGAGCAAGCAUUUUCAGAAAGAGUCCCCCACAAAAAAAAAAACGGUCGUCGUCGUUCUCGUCGUCGCCGUCGUCGUCGUCGUCGUCGUUCGUAGUUUGCUUUUUGUGAGAGGAAGACAUAACCAGCAUAAUCAUCCAGUUUUUCCUAAGCUCAGUGAUUAGUGAUAGCUGAAAGGGGCGUAAGAAGACCGCGAGGAAGAACAAGAGGUUCAUCAUCCGGGAAAAUAUCGCGUGAUCCGUGUGGUGUGCAGCAGCGGACGGAAGAAUCUCACCCGUUCAAGUGGAAAAGUGCGUGUCUUUUGGUCGUUUCAAAAAUAAAAAGCGGAGGGCUGUGCCGUUACUCAUAGCAGUUCGUCGUCGUCCUCGUCGGUCGGUGGAAUUGUUGUGAUAUCUAAACCUCUGUGAUGGGAAUUUUAUUUUGAAAGCCUCCCAACAAAUUGCCAGGUGCUGGCCGGUGUCCCAAUCGGAGCGAAUAAAGGUGAAUUCACUGCACGGAGAGAAAUUCGGUGGUUGGAAAUUUGUGGGUGGAAACGAAAUGAUGCAACUGGCCUGUCAGUGUCAAUUCGAAGCAGCCCGAGAAGACGCAGUUGUCGUAGGUCAGGUGAACGGAGCUGAAUCCUACAUCUGCAGAAUGUGCUAACUUUGAACCGGUUCCGGUUACAACGCAAUCCGUCGGGCCAUCGAGGAACGAGAGAGGGCAGCUUCACGCAAUCAUCAGCGGCGAUUGUCGCACGCACGCACUCUUCAACAAAUAUAACGAAAACUCAUAGCCGGCGACAAUCGCUGAUUGAAUUUUCCACCGACGAAAACACCGAUAAACCGAACCAACCAUGUUCUCACUCUGCUCGAAACCAGCUUCCAGCAGUGCUUCGUCAUCAAACCGCACUCAGCAGCACGGCACAUGCAAAGGAUGCAGCUGUAAGCUGUCAUCCGUGGGCAAACAGAUUAAAGGCGGCUAUCUAUUGCGAUACAAAA